rnacentral:rRNA from 1 species
AACGAACGCUGGCGGCAGGCUUAACACAUGCAAGUCGAGCGCAUCCUUCGGGGUGAGCGGCGGACGGGUGAGUAACGCGUGGGAACGUGCCCUCUUCUACGGAAUAGCCUCGGGAAACUGAGAGUAAUGCCGUAUACGCCCGCAAGGGGAAAGAUUUAUCGGAGGAGGAUCGGCCCGCGUUGGAUUAGGUAGUUGGUGGGGUAACGGCCUACCAAGCCGACGAUCCAUAGCUGGUUUGAGAGGAUGAUCAGCCACACUGGGACUGAGACACGGCCCAGACUCCUACGGGAGGCAGCAGUGGGGAAUCUUGGACAAUGGGGGCAACCCUGAUCCAGCCAUGCCGCGUGAUCGAUGAGGGCCUUAGGGUUGUAAAGAUCUUUCAGCUGGGAAGAUAAUGACGGUACCAGCAGAAGAAGCCCCGGCUAACUCCGUG